GGGCCCGUGGUCUAGCGGUUUAUGACGCCACCCUUACGAGGUGGAGGUCGGGGGUUCGAAUCCCCUCGGGCCCA
rnacentral:tRNA from 2 species